AUUGAACGCUGGCGGCAUGCUUUACACAUGCAAGUCGAACGGUAACAGGCCGCAAGGUGCUGACGAGUGGCGAACGGGUGAGUAAUGCAUAGGAACGUGCCCAGUCGUGGGGGAUAACGCAGCGAAAGCUGUGCUAAUACCGCAUACGAUCUAUGGAUGAAAGCGGGGGACCGUAAGGCCUCGCGCGAUUGGAGCGGCCGAUGUCAGAUUAGGUAGUUGGUGGGGUAAAGGCCUACCAAGCCGACGAUCUGUAGCUGGUCUGAGAGGACGACCAGCCACACUGGGACUGAGACACGGCCCAGACUCCUACGGGAGGCAGCAGUGGGGAAUUUUGGACAAUGGGCGCAAGCCUGAUCCAGCAAUGCCGCGUGCAGGAAGAAGGCCUUCGGGUUGUAAACUGCUUUUGUACGGAACGAAACGGCCUGAGUUAAUACCCUGGGCUAAUGACGGUACCGUAAGAAUAAGCACCGGCUAACUACGUGCCAGCAGCCGCCGUAACAC
rnacentral:rRNA from 1 species